GCCUGGCUGGCUCAGUCAGUGAAGCAUGUGACUCUUAAUCUCAGAGUUGUAGGUUCAAGCCCCACACUAGGUG
rnacentral:tRNA from 1 species